rnacentral:rRNA from 1 species
UACAGAGACUGCAAGCGUUAUUCGGAUUCACUGGGCGUAAAGGGUGCGCAGGCGGCCGUGUGUGUCAGGUGUGAAAGCCCGGAGCUUAACUCCGGAAUUGCGCCUGAAACUACAUGGCUAGAGCAUUGGAGAGGGAAGUGGAAUUCACGGUGUAGCAGUGAAAUGCGUAGAUAUCGGGAGGAACACCAGUGGCGCAAGCGGCUGACUGGCCGAGACCUGACGCUGAGACGCGACGGCGUGGGGAGCGAACAGG